rnacentral:rRNA from 1 species
AGCGAACGCUGGCGGCGUGCUUAACACAUGCAAGUCGAACGGAAAGGCCCUUCGGGGUGCUCGAGUGGCGAACGGGUGAGUAACACGUGGGUGAUCUGCCCUGCACUUUGGGAUAAGCCUGGGAAACUGGGUCUAAUACCGAAUAGGACUCCGGCCUUCAUGGGUUGGGGUGGAAAGCUUUUGCGGUGUGGGAUGGGCCCGCGGCCUAUCAGCUUGUUGGUGGGGUAAUGGCCUACCAAGGCGACGACGGGUAGCCGGCCUGAGAGGGUGACCGGCCACACUGGGACUGAGAUACGGCCCAGACUCCUACGGGAGGCAGCAGUGGGGAAUAUUGCACAAUGGGCGCAAGCCUGAUGCAGCGACGCCGCGUGAGGGAUGACGGCCUUCGGGUUGUAAACCUCUUUCAGCACAGACGAAGCGCAAGUGACGGUAUGUGCAGAAGAAGGACCGGCCAACUACGUGCCAGCCGCCGCGGUAAAAC